GGCGGCGUAGCUCAGUCUGGCAGAGCAAACGGCUCAUACCCGUUAUGCCACAGGUUCAAAUCCUGUCGCCGCCA
rnacentral:tRNA from 1 species